UGGCCCGUUUCGAAACCAUCUCUCCGAAUUCGUUAGCUUCGCCUUCGCUGUCACUCUCCCUCUCUCUCGCGCUCGCUCGCUCUCUCUAGUUUGAUUGACAUGGAAGCUUCUUCCAUCUCUUCGUCGCCUAUAAUCGGCUCGACGGUUCGUCGACCAUUCGGCGGAAUCAGAGUUGGGGAUCGCUCGAAACCGUUCGCUAACUGCAUCUGCAGGAGGAGGAGCGGUCGCUUGAACGGGAAGGCGACAUUGAAGAGGAGAAUCGCCGCCGUGGACGGGGUUUCGGCGGUGGCAGACCCGAGCCAGGCUGAGGUUACGUGGCAAAUAGUCGUUGGAGCCAUAGCUGGUGUCUCGCCAUUUGUCGUCGCAGGGAUUGAGUUCAGCAAAAGAAUCAUAGCCCAAAGAAAAUGCGAAGUCUGUGGCGGCUCAGGGCUUGUCCUUAGGGACAAGCACUAUUUCCGCUGUCCUGGAUGUGGUGGAUUUCUCCCAUGGCAGUCAUGGAGAAGAUUCUUCUCUGGUUAGACCACAUUGUGCUGUCUUCACCAGAACGCGUGUGAAGGUUUAAUCAGUAAUAUACCCCAUGUUCUUAUAAAACAAAGGGUCUGGAAUGUCUCCCAGGCUUAAUUAUAUGGCAAGAAGAAACAAUUAGGAUGAGUAUGCGCAAAGAAAGGAGUUUCAAUGUGUCAUUCUGGAAGACGUUAUGACGAUCAAAACAUGUAUGAAAAGACGUAAGUUUGUUGAUAUGAAAAAAUCCCAUACUCCUGAUUAUCGUCCAAAUAUUCUAUGAUGUAUGACUACAUAUAAGUUUGUUCUCUGUUUACGGGAGGAUUGACUUGUGGCAUCUUUUUUCUUUUUCGGGAUUAACGACAGCUUCUUUUUCUGAUUUCACAACUGCCAAACAUAUGUACGGGUGAUGAAAUUAACUGAUCAUUUUGCUGCUGUAGUUCCAGCGCCGAAAUUGCAUC